rnacentral:rRNA from 1 species
UACGUAGGUGGCAAGCGUUGUCCGGAUUUAUUGGGUUUAAAGGGUGCGUAGGCGAUCCCAUAAGUCAGUGGUGAAAUACUCUAGCUCAACUAGAGGGGUGCCAUUGAUACUGCGGGACUUGAGUGAAGUCGAAGUAGGCGGAAUUGACGGUGUAGCGGUGAAAUGCUUAGAUAUCGUCAAGAACACCGAUAGUGAAGACAGCUUACUAGACUUAUACUGACGCUGAGGCACGAAAGUGUGGGGAUCAAACAGG